UCAAAUAUUUCAUACUAUUUCUCAAUCUUGAAAGAAAGAAUAUUUCCAAAAAAAAAAAGAGGAGUUGUUAAGGAGACAAUGGAAAAGACUUCUAAAUAACUACAGCAUUUGGCCAGUUCACAAUGGAGGAAAUAAUGAACAGCUGUACUCUGAUAGACACUAAAAAAAUUCCUUUUAUGGGCCCCAAGAUCCCUGACAUCACAAGGAAAUGAUUCAUUUACAACUUGGGUA